GGGGGCAUAGCUCAGCUGGGAGAGCGUCUGAUUUGCAUUCAGAAGGUCAGGGGUUCGAACCCCCUUGUCUCCA
rnacentral:tRNA from 1 species